rnacentral:lncRNA from 10 species
AACUACAGACGCGAAGCUCAGCCUCUCGGUUUGGGAAUUUUCUUGGAGGCCGAGGCCCUGCGCCUCUGUCUGCACCCAAGGCGACCGCCCAGCUUACCCCCGGCUCUUCUGAGCACAGGGAGGCCUCCCAGCAAAGCCUGAACCCUCUAAGUUUAGCUGCAGGCUUCGAACCCCGACCGUCCCCGCCGAGCCUUGGGCUGCUGAGGUGGGGAUGAACUGGGCGAAAGACACUUGGGAGUUAGGAAGAAACAAACAAGCAGGGAAGUGACCAGGAGACAAGAUGGGCGUCCACAGAAUGAAUACAGGAAUGUCUGUCUGCCUGUCUGUGUAUACUCUGUGAAGGAAUAUACCAACAUUACAUGCUGACCCAAGGAUAGCCAGUACGCCUUCUGCAAGAGGAAAGUUUGUGUUUCAAAAUCCAUCAAGUGUACAACGUGGAGGGUGAAAGAAUGAGCUGGAAGCAGGCAUCAUAAAGCACCAUCGUACUGCAAAGAGCAGGAUUUAAAAGCUAGCACCACCACUUGCUAGCUAGGGAAACUUGGGUAUCAUUUGAGGAUAUGCUGCAGCAAAAUGAGUGAAUAAACAAGAAAGUCAAAGACAUGGGAUUGAGGAAACAGUGACUUCAGCCCAAGAUUGGAAUGACAGGGAGCCCCAGGCCACUGGGCAGCAGCACAGACAGCAAUCUGUUCAGACUGCAGCAGAACAGCAAACUCCUGGAGCAGUAUCAAGAGGUGGCGGGGGUUCCAAGAUGGCCGAAUAGGACCAGCUCCAGUCUACAGCUCCCAGUAUGAGCGACACAGAAGACGGGUGACUUCUGCAUUUCCAACUGAGGUACCGCAUUCAUCUCACUGGGGCUUGUCAGACACUGGGUGCAGCCCACAGAGUGUGAGCCGAAGCAGGGCGAGGCAUCGCCUCACCUGGGAAGCACAAGGGGUCAGGAAUUCCCUUUACUAGCCAAGGGAAGCUGUGGCAGAUGGUACCUGGAAAAUCGGGACACUCCCACCCUAAUAUUGCGCUUUUCCAACAGCCUUAACAAACAGCACACCAGGAGAUUAUAUCCCGCGCCUGGCUCAGAGGGUCCCAUGCCCACGGAGCCUCGCUCAUUGCUAGCACAGCAGUCUGAGAUCAAACUGCAAGGCGGCAGUGAGGCUGGGGGAGGGGCAUCCGCCAUUGCUAAGGCUUGAGUAGGUAAACAAAGCGGCCUGGAAGCUCGAACUGGGUGGAGCCCACCACAGCUCAAGGAGGCCUGCCUGCCUCUGUAGACUCCACCUCUGGGGGCAGGGCAUAGCUGAACAAAAGGCAGCAGAAACUUCUGCAGAAUUAAACAUCCCUGUCUGACAGCUUUGAAGACAGUAGUGGUUCUCCCAGCACAGUUUGAGAUCUGAGAACAGACAGACUACCUCCUCAAGUGGACCCCUGACCCCUGAGUAGCCUAACUGGUAGGCACCUCCCAGUAGGGGCCGACUGACACCUCAUAUGGCUGGGUGCCCCUCUGAGACAAAGCUUCCAGAGGAAGGAUCAGGCAGCAACAUUGGCCAUUCUGCAAUAUUUGCUGUUCUGCAGCCUCCACUGGUGAUACUCAGGCAAACAAGGUCUGGAGUGGACCUACAGCAAACUCCAACAGACCUGUAGCUGAAGGUCCUGUUAGAAGGAAAACUAACAAACAGAAAGGACAUCCACACCAAAACCCCAUCUGUAUGUCACCAUCAUCAAAGACCAAAGGUAGAUAAAACCAUAAAGAUGGGGAGAAACUAGAGCAGAAAAGCUGAAAAUUCUAAAAAUCAGAGCACCUAUUCUCCUCCAAAGUAACGCAGCUCCUCGCCAGCAGCAGAACAAAGCUGGACAGAGAACAACUUUGACAAGUUGAGAGAAGAAGGCUUCAAACGAUCAGUAAUAACAAACUUCUCCGAGCUAAAGGAGGAUGUUCGAACCCAUCGCAAAAAAGCUAAAAACAUGCAAAAAAGAGUAGACGAAUGGCUAACUACAAUAAACAGCAUACAGAAGACCUCAGGUACCCAAUGGAGCUGAAAACCAUGGCACGAGAACUAUAUGACACAUGCACAAGCUUCAGUAGCCGAUUUGAUCAAGUGGAAGAAAGGGUAUCAGUGAUUGUAGAUCAAAUGAAUGAAAUGAAGUGAGAAGAGUUUAGAGAAAAAAGAGUAAAAAGAAAUGAACGAAGCCUCUGAGAAAUAUGAGACUAUGUGAAGAGACCAAAUCUACGUUUGACUGGUAUACCUGAAAGUGAUGGGGAGAAUGGAACCAAGUUGGAAAACACUCUUCAGGGUAUUAUCCAGGAGAACUUCCCCAAC